GGAGAAAGCCACGCAGGGCUUUCCAGGAUGAAAAAAGAGAAUUCAGAAUUUUUCAACAGCCCUCUUUUCUGCUUAGAAGUAUCUCAGUAGCUCUGUUGAUGAGAAGGCCCUGUAGAGGAUAUGGAUGCCCAGCCUGGCUGUAGCUCUCCCCUGGAAGUCUCUCAUCAGCAGCACUGUGUGACUAUCAGCUCCUGCCCUCUCCAGUCCUGGGGACCAGAUCCAUUUAAGACAACUGGUGCUCUGCAUUUCCAUUUUGAGCUCAGAUCAACCAGGAAUGCCUUUGUAACUCUGCAGAGGAAGCUGCAUGGAGGCAGAAGCAAAACCCAUCAUGAUGCCAACCACUCGUGGUUAUCAAUGGGAAAGAAAUGCCUGACUCUGCUUGGAGGUUCCAGCUGUUAUUUAACAGCUCCGUGCCCUAUUUUCACAUUGGAGAAACAGAUGUCAUGUAGGCUGAUGCAGCAGAGAUGGACGUAGGACUGAAAGAGUCCCCUGGCACUAGAGGGCCUGAGGUGUUUGAUACCUCUGCAUAUCAGAUUUCAUUGGAGUGGCUUUUUGCAGCUAAUGAUCUGACUAGAAGCACACUUUGAUGGUAUAAAUGCUUGCAUUUAGAGACAUCUCCUACUUCUCCUUCCUGCUCAGAUGACAUCCUCUUCUCACGCAAUUCCCCAGCAUAAUUUGCACAAACAUGUCCAUCCUCAGGUCUAUACAAAUAUGUUUUCUCCUUGGUUACACAAAUGCUCCUUAUUCUGGAAACCUGGCAACACUGCUGAGAACCAUAGAAGCUAGCUAUGACUAAAAGUUGUAGUGAGUUCAGGGGUGUCCAGGAGGAUUUACCUAAGACACUCCUUGACUCCUAU
rnacentral:lncRNA from 7 species